CAGCAGCCGCGGGAAUACGUAGGGUGCAAGCGUUAAUCGGAAUUACUAGGCGUAAAGCGUGCGCAGGCGGUUUGUUAAGACAGAUGUGAAAUCCCCGGGCUCAACCUGGGAACUGCAUUUGUGACUGGCAAGCUAGAGUGUGGCAGAGGGGGGUGGAAUUCCGCGUGUAGCAGUGAAAUGCGUAGAUAUGCGGAGGAACACCGAUGGCGAAGGCAGCCCCCUGGGCCAACACUGACGCUCAUGCACGAAAGCGUGGGGAGCAAACAGGAUUAGAUACCCCUGUAGUCCCUGUCUCUUAUAC
rnacentral:rRNA from 1 species